CAGCAGCCACGGUAACACGGAGGGUGCAAGCGUUAAUCGGAAUUACUGGGCGUAAAGCGCACGCAGGCGGUCUGACAAGUCAGAUGUGAAAUCCCCGGGCUUAACCUGGGAACUGCAUUUGAAACUGUCAGGCUGGAGUCUUGUAGAGGGGGGUAGAAUUCCAGGUGUAGCGGUGAAAUGCGUAGAGAUCUGGAGGAAUACCGGUGGCGAAGGCGGCCCCCUGGACAAAGACUGACGCUCAGGUGCGAAAGCGUGGGGAGCAAACAGGAUUAGAUACCCGGGUAGUCCCUGUCUCUUAUAC
rnacentral:rRNA from 1 species